AACGAACGCUGGCGGCAUGCCUAACACAUGCAAGUCGAACGAGACCUUCGGGUCUAGUGGCGCACGGGUGCGUAACGCGUGGUAACCUGCCCUUAGGUUCGGAAUAACUCCCCGAGAGGUGUGCUCAUACCAGAUAAUGUCUUCGGACCAAGGAUUUAUCGCCUUUGGAUGGGGCCUCGUUGGAUUAGCUGGUUGGUAGGGUAAAAGCCUACCAAGGCGACGAUCCAUAGCUGGUCUGAGAGGAUGAUAAGCCACACUGGGACUGAGACACGGCCCAGACUCCUACGGGAGGCAGCAGUGGGGAAUAUUGGACAAUGGGCGAAAGCCUGAUACAGCAAUGCCGCGUAAGUGAUGAAGGCCUUAGGGUUGUAAAGCUCUUUUACCCGGGAUGAUAAUGACAGUACCGGGAGAAUAAGCUCCGGCUAACUCCGUG
rnacentral:rRNA from 1 species